rnacentral:pre_miRNA from 1 species
AUGUGAUGGAAUCAGCGUUUGGACAUGCGAUUUUAUGUUGAUUCCAUCUCAUGA